rnacentral:rRNA from 1 species
UACGUAGGGCGCAAGCGUUAUCCGGAAUUAUUGGGCGUAAAGAGCUCGUAGGCGGUUUGUCGCGUCUGCCGUGAAAGUCCGGGGCUCAACUCCGGAUCUGCGGUGGGUACGGGCAGACUAGAGUGAUGUAGGGGAGACUGGAAUUCCUGGUGUAGCGGUGAAGUGCGCAGAUAUCAGGAGGAACACCCGUGGCGAAGGCGGCUCUCUGGAACGCAACUGACGCUGAGACGCGAAAGCGUGGGGAGCAAACAGG